GGGUUGUGAGGUUAAGCGACUAAGCGUACACGGUGGAUGCCCUGGCAGUCAGAGGCGAUGAAGGACGUGCUAAUCUGCGAAAAGCGCCGGCGAGGUGAUAUGAACCUUUGACCCGGCGAUGUCCGAAUGGGGAAACCCAGUGUGUUCCGACACACUAUCGUUAACUGAAUACAUAGGUUAACGAGGCGAACCGGGGGAACUGAAACAUCUAAGUACCCCGAGGAAAAGAAAUCAACCGAGAUUCCCCCAGUAGCGGCGAGCGAACGGGGAGCAGCCCAGAGUCUGAAUCAGCUUGUGUGUUAGUGGAAGCGUCUGGAAAGUCGCACGGUACAGGGUGACAGUCCCGUACACGAAAGCACACAGGUUGUGAACUCGAAGAGUAGGGCGGGACACGUGGUAUCCUGUCUGAAUAUGGGGGGACCAUCCUCCAAGGCUAAAUACUCCUGACUGACCGAUAGUGAACCAGUACCGUGAGGGAAAGGCGAAAAGAACCCCGGCGAGGGGAGUGAAAAAGAACCUGAAACCGUGUACGUACAAGCAGUGGGAGCACCUUCGUGGUGUGACUGCGUACCUUUUGUAUAAUGGGUCAGCGACUUAUAUUCUGUAGCAAGGUUAACCGUAUAGGGGAGCCGAAGGGAAACCGAGUCUUAACUGGGCGUUAAGUUGCAGGGUAUAGACCCGAAACCCGGUGAUCUAGCCAUGGGCAGGUUGAAGGUUGGGUAACACUAACUGGAGGACCGAACCGACUAAUGUUGAAAAAUUAGCGGAUGACUUGUGGCUGGGGGUGAAAGGCCAAUCAAACCGGGAGAUAGCUGGUUCUCCCCGAAAGCUAUUUAGGUAGCGCCUCGUGAACUCAUCUUCGGGGGUAGAGCACUGUUUCGGCUAGGGGGCCAUCCCGGCUUACCAACCCGAUGCAAACUACGAAUACCGAAGAAUGUUAUCACGGGAGACACACGGCGGGUGCUAACGUCCGUCGUGAAGAGGGAAACAACCCAGACCGCCAGCUAAGGUCCCAAAGUCAUGGUUAAGUGGGAAACGAUGUGGGAAGGCACAGACAGCCAGGAUGUUGGCUUAGAAGCAGCCAUCAUUUAAAGAAAGCGUAAUAGCUCACUGGUCGAGUCGGCCUGCGCGGAAGAUGUAACGGGGCUAAACCAUGCACCGAAGCUGCGGCAGCGACGCUUAUGCGUUGUUGGGUAGGGGAGCGUUCUGUAAGCCGUUGAAGGUGGCCUGUGAGGGUUGCUGGAGGUAUCAGAAGUGCGAAUGCUGACAUAAGUAACGAUAAAGCGGGUGAAAAGCCCGCUCGCCGGAAGACCAAGGGUUCCUGUCCAACGUUAAUCGGGGCAGGGUGAGUCGACCCCUAAGGCGAGGCCGAAAGGCGUAGUCGAUGGGAAACAGGUUAAUAUUCCUGUACUUGGUGUUGCUGCGAAGGGGGGACGGAGAAGGCUAUGUUAGCCGGGCGACGGUUGUCCCGGUUUAAGCAUGUAGGCGGAGGUUCCAGGUAAAUCCGGUACCUUUUAACGCUGAGGUGUGAUGACGAGGCACUACGGUGCUGAAGUAACAAAUGCCCUGCUUCCAGGAAAAGCCUCUAAGCAUCAGGUAACACGAAAUCGUACCCCAAACCGACACAGGUGGUCAGGUAGAGAAUACCAAGGCGCUUGAGAGAACUCGGGUGAAGGAACUAGGCAAAAUGGUGCCGUAACUUCGGGAGAAGGCACGCUGAUAUGUAGGUGAAGCCCCUGCGGGUGGAGCUGAAAUCAGUCGAAGAUACCAGCUGGCUGCAACUGUUUAUUAAAAACACAGCACUGUGCAAACACGAAAGUGGACGUAUACGGUGUGACGCCUGCCCGGUGCCGGAAGGUUAAUUGAUGGGGUUAGCGGCAACGCGAAGCUCUUGAUCGAAGCCCCGGUAAACGGCGGCCGUAACUAUAACGGUCCUAAGGUAGCGAAAUUCCUUGUCGGGUAAGUUCCGACCUGCACGAAUGGCGUAAUGAUGGCCAGGCUGUCUCCACCCGAGACUCAGUGAAAUUGAACUCGCUGUGAAGAUGCAGUGUACCCGCGGCAAGACGGAAAGACCCCGUGAACCUUUACUAUAGCUUGACACUGAACACUGGUCCUUGAUGUGUAGGAUAGGUGGGAGGCUUUGAAGCGUGGACGCCAGUCUGCGUGGAGCCGUCCUUGAAAUACCACCCUUUAAUGGCUGGUGUUCUAACGUAGACCCGUGAUCCGGGUUGCGGACAGUGUCUGGUGGGUAGUUUGACUGGGGCGGUCUCCUCCCAAAGAGUAACGGAGGAGCACGAAGGUUAGCUAAUCCUGGUCGGACAUCAGGAGGUUAGUGCAAUGGCAUAAGCUAGCUUGACUGCGAGAGUGACGGCUCGAGCAGGUGCGAAAGCAGGUCAUAGUGAUCCGGUGGUUCUGAAUGGAAGGGCCAUCGCUCAACGGAUAAAAGGUACUCCGGGGAUAACAGGCUGAUACCGCCCAAGAGUUCAUAUCGACGGCGGUGUUUGGCACCUCGAUGUCGGCUCAUCACAUCCUGGGGCUGAAGUAGGUCCCAAGGGUAUGGCUGUUCGCCAUUUAAAGUGGUACGCGAGCUGGGUUUAGAACGUCGUGAGACAGUUCGGUCCCUAUCUGCCGUGGGCGCUGGAGAAUUGAGGGGGGCUGCUCCUAGUACGAGAGGACCGGAGUGGACGCAUCACUGGUGUUCGGGUUGUCAUGCCAAUGGCACUGCCCGGUAGCUAAAUGCGGAAAAGAUAAGUGCUGAAAGCAUCUAAGCACGAAACUUGCCCCGAGAUGAGUUCUCCCUGACUCCUUGAGAGUCCUGAAGGAACGUUGAAGACGACGACGUUGAUAGGUCGGGUGUGUAAGCGCAGCGAUGCGUUGAGCUAACCGAUACUAAUGAACCGUGAGGCUUAACCUUACAACGCCGAAG
rnacentral:rRNA from 1 species